GGGUCUCAUAUAACCAUGGCAUGUCCUGGAACUCAUGAAAUAUUUGGAGAUGAAAUUGAGCCAUUCCAAGUGCUGGGACUGAAGCUGCCUUAUUUAUGAGAAGCUGGUGACAACCCAGAUGAACCUCAACUGAAGGAUGGAUACAGAAAAUGUGUACAUUUACACAAUGAAAUACUACUCAUCUAUUGAAAACGAGAACAUCACCAAGUUAUGCAUGCAAAUGGAUGGAACUAGAAAAUAAUCAUCCUGAGUGAGGUAACCCAGACACAAAAGAACACACAUGGUAGGUACUACUAAUAAAUGGAUAUUAGCCAAAAAGUUCAGAAUACCUAUGGCACAACUCAUAGAACUUAGGAAGUUUAACAAGAAGAAAGGCCCAAGUGUGGCUAUUUCAAUUCCUCUUAGAAGGGGGAACAAAAUAAUCACAGGAGGCAGAGGGAGGGAGGGACCUGGGUGUGAGAGGGUAGGGGGAGGGAAAAUGGGGGUGCAGGAUCAGGUAUGGGCAAGACAGGAGAGCAGCC
rnacentral:lncRNA from 1 species